GGGCUCGUGGUUUAGUGGUAUAAUACUCCCUUAGCAACUCGGUCUGGGAGUGGUCCGGGGUUCGAUUCCCCGCGAGUCCA
rnacentral:tRNA from 2 species